AAAAGAUUAGUUAAAAAAUAACAUUAACUUGUCAUGCUAAAAUCACUAUAAAAUUAGUAUCUUUUA
rnacentral:tRNA from 1 species